AGCUCCAAUAGUGUAUGCUAAAGUUGUUGCGGUUGAAAAGCUCGUAGUUGGAUCUAGGGCGCUGGUCGGUGGUCCGCCGCAAGGUGUGUACUGUCGGCCGGUCUCUUUCUUCUGGUUUUCCGUCGGUGCUCUUAACUGAGUGUCGGCGGUGGCCAGUGCGUUUACUUUGAAAAAAUUAGAGUGUUUAAAGCAGGCUGUUUGCCUGAAUAUCGGUGCAUGGAAUAAUGGAAUAGGACCUCGAGUCUAUUUUGUUGGUUUUCGGAAGCGAGGUAAUGAUUAAGAGGGACAGACGGGGGCAUCCGUACUCUGCCGUUAGAGGUGAAAUUCUUGGAUCGGCGGAAGACGAACUAUUGCGAAAGCAUUUGCCAAGAAUGUUUUCUUUAAUCAAGAACGAAAGUAG
rnacentral:rRNA from 1 species